rnacentral:rRNA from 1 species
GUAGCAAUACGUCACCGGCGGACGGGUGCGUAACACGUGGGAAUGUACCUACUGGUUCGGAACAACUCAGGGAAACUUGAGCUAAUACCGGAUAAGCCCUUACGGGGAAAGAUUCAUCGCCAGUAGAUCAGCCCGCGUCCGAUUAGCUAGUUGGUGGGGUAAAGGCCCACCAAGGCGACGAUCGGUAGCUGUUCUGAGAGGAAGAUCAGCCACACUGGGACUGAGACACGGCCCAGACUCCUACGGGAGGCAGCAGUUGGGAAUCUUGGACAAUGGGGGAAACCCUGAUCCAGCCAUGCCGCGUGAGUGAUGAAGGCCUUAGGG